CGAAGCCGCGAGGUGGAGCGAAUCCCAAAAAAGACCGGUCUAAGUUCGGAUUGCAGGCUGCAACCCGCCUGCAUGAAGUCGGAAUCGCUAGUAAUCGCGAGUCAGCAUAUCGCGGUGAAUACGUUCCCGGGUCUUGUACACACCGCCCGUCACACCAUGGGAGUUGGCAACACCCGAAGUCGAUGAGCUAACCUUUUAGGAGGCAGUCGCCUAAGGUGGGGUUGAUAACUGGGGUGAAGUCGUAACAAGGUAAC
rnacentral:rRNA from 1 species